UAACUAAGGAGUGGUUGUACAAAAUCUGCUCCAAGGAGUUACCUGAACUCCGUAGGCACUCCUGAAGGACGAAAGAUUAGGAAGGCGCCUCAGCAGUUUAUUCACCACGGGGGCCGCCAUCUU